UACGUAGGGUGCGAGCGUUGUCCGGAAUUAUUGGGCGUAAAAGAGCUUGUAGGCGGUUUGUCGCGUCUGCUGUGAAAAUCCGGGGCUCAACCCCGGACUUGCAGUGGGUACGGGCAGACUAGAGUGUGGUAGGGGAGACUGGAAUUCCGUGGUGUAGCGGUGGAAUGCGCAGAUAUCAGGAGGAACACCGAUGGCGAAGGCAGGUCUCUGGGCCACUACUGACGCUGAGAAGCGAAAGCAUGGGGAGCGAACAGG
rnacentral:rRNA from 1 species